UGUACACACCGCCCGUCGCUACUACCGAUUGAAUGGCUCAGUGAGGCGUCCGGACUGGCCCAGAGAGGUGGGCAACUACCACUCAGGGCCGGAAAGCUCUCCAAACUCGGUCAUUUAGAGGAAGUAAAAGUCGUAACAAGGUCUCCGUUGGUGAACCAGCGGAGGGAUCAUUACCGAGUUUACAACUCCCAAACCCCUGUGAACAUACCACUUGUUGCCUCGGCGGAUCAGCCCGCUCCCGGUAAAACGGGACGGCCCGCCAGAGGACCCCUAAACUCUGUUUCUAUAUGUAACUCUGAGUAAAACCAUAAAUAAAUCAAAACUUUCAACAACGGAUCUCUUGGUUCUGGCAUCGAUGAAGAACGCAGCAAAAUGCGAUAAGUAAUGUGAAUUGCAGAAUUCAGUGAAUCAUCGAAUCUUUGAACGCACAUUGCGCCCGCCAGUAUUCUGGCGGGCAUGCCUGUUCGAGCGUCAUUUCAACCCUCAAGCACAGCUUGGUGUUGGGACUCGCGUUAAUUCGCGUUCCCCAAAUUGAUUGGCGGUCACGUCGAGCUUCCAUAGCGUAGUAGUAAAACCCUCGUUACUGGUAAUCGUCGCGGCCACGCCGUUAAACCCCAACUUCUGAAUGUGACCUCGGAUCAGGUAGGAAUACCCGC
rnacentral:ncRNA from 2 species